GGAAUAUUUAGGCUGGUUCUCCUUCCCAGCUUUAAAAACGAGAUCCAGAAUAUAUACACACACACAUACAUAAAGGACUGGAUACUAAGGAAAAGGAAUCCAAUACCCUAUCCAAAUAAGUGUUAGGUUCAAGAAGGAAGGGAAUCUAGGUUAUCCAAAUGACAGUAUAGGAUAGGACUGGAUACUGAGGGAAAGGAAUCCAAUACCCUAUCCAAAUAACUGUUAGGAUUAAGAAGGAAGGGAAUCUAGGUUAUCCAAAUGACAGUAUAGGAUAGGACUGGAUACUAAGGGGAAGGGAAUCCAAUACCCUAUCCAAAUAAGUGUUAGGAUUAAGAAGGAAGGGAAUCUAGGUUAUCCAAAUGACAGUAUAGGAUAGGACUGGAUACUAAGGGAAAGGAAUCCAAUACCCUAUCCAAAUAAGUGUUAGGUUCAAGAAGGAAGGGAAUCUAGGUUAUCCAAAUGACAGUAUAGGAUAGGACUGGAUACUGAGGGAAAGGAAUCCAAUACCCUAUCCAAAUAAGUGUUAGGAUCGAGAGAGGGGAAGGGAAUCCAAUACCCUAUCCAAAUAAGUGUUAGGUUCAAGAAGGAAGGGAAUCUAGGUUAUCCAAAUGACAGUAUAGGAUAGGACUGGAUACUGAGGGAAAGGAAUCCAAUACCCUAUCCAAAUAACUGUUAGGAUUAAGAAGGAAGGGAAUCUAGGUUAUCCAAAUGACAGUAUAGGAUAGGACUGGAUACUGAGGGAAAGGAAUCCAAUACCCUAUCAAAAUAAGUGUUAGGUUCAAGAAGGAAGGGAAUCUAGGUUAUCCAAAUGACAGUAUAGGAUAGGACUGGAUACUGAGGGAAAGGAAUCCAAUACCCUAUCCAAAUAAGUGUUAGGUUCAAGAAGGAAGGGAAUCUAGGCUAUCCAAAUGACAGUAUAGGAUAGGACUAGAUACUGAGGGAAAGGAAUCCAAUACCCUAUCCAAAUAAUUGUUAGGAUUAAGAAGGAAGGGAAUCUAGGUUAUCCAAAUGACAGUAUAGGAUAGGACUGGAUACUGAGGGAAAGGAAUCCAAUACCCUAUCCAAAUAAGUGUUAGGUUCAAGAAGGAAGGGAAUCUAGGUUAUCCAAAUGACAGUAUAGGAUAGGACUGGAUACUGAGGGAAAGGAAUCCAAUACCCUAUCCAAAUAAGUGUUAGGUUCAAGAAGGAAGGGAAUCUAGGUUAUCCAUAUGACAGUAUAGGAUAGGACUAGAUACUGAGGGAAAGGAAUCCAAUACCCUAUCCAAAUAAC